AAAAAUCGGAAAAUUUAAAAAUCCAAAAAUAUUGUCUUGUUUCCCUUUUUGUUCUGAAUCAGAUUUUUUUUUGUUAGUUUCCCGACCCAAUGAUAUAAUUAGAUCAAAUUUGAAUCAUGAUUAUCAAGAACUUAGUUUAACAUGUGUUUUGUGAAAUUCCUAAUUCUUUUGUUAGUUUUGUACAUGUUUGAUCAUCUUUGAAAAACCAAUUGCACAUAGCCUUGUUGAUGUGAAACUAAAGCAUAACUUAAAGCUUCAUAUGUGAAUUUAGUGACCAUCCUAUGUGAGUUUUUGAGCCGAUUGAAAGUGUGUGCAUUUUUCAUACACUCCUAUUUUUUUAUGUGUGAUGAACUUAUGUGAUAUACAUCUCUAGAACUUGCGUAACGAUCUUUCGAAAUGUUUGUCAUUGAUUGCAUGAAUUUGAAAAUGAUAGAGGCAUUAGGUUUACCACUAUGGCCCAAAUAACCAUGUUUCCCAAAGAAAAAUGAUAUCAUUAGAUUGCCAAUUUGAGCCGUGUAUGUUGAGCCUUUUAUUUCUUAUCACCAGAUAUGUCUACCCUUAUACCUGAAACAUUUUUCCUUACCCUUUCCAAGCGAGCAAUGUGAGAUUAUCUUAUGAGAAAUGUUUGUGAAGUACUUUGAGGGUGUUGGGCAAAAGAAUAAGUGUGGGGGUAUUUCAUGUUUGUAUUGAAAAAAAAAAAAAAAAAAAAAAAAAAAAAAAAAGAGAGAAAAAA
rnacentral:lncRNA from 1 species